rnacentral:lncRNA from 1 species
CUGCUACAUUUCCUGCGGCGGAUUCCGCGCAGCUCCACCACUCCCUGACAGGCCGCAGUAACGAUCGCAGCACUGCUCCACUCCCUAUGACGGAUCCCACGCGGCUCCAUUACUACCUGACCAGCCAUGAUAAACGGCCACGAUCCUGCUCCACCUCCUGCAACGGAUACUGCGCGAUUCUCCCAUCCACUGGCAAGUCACGACGACAAACGCCGCCCCACUUCACGCGGCAGACUCCACGUGGCACGCCCCAGCGAUAGCCACGGGUCCGUUCCACUAUACUUCGCAGCAAACUCCG